rnacentral:rRNA from 1 species
AACGAACGCUGGCGGCAGGCCUAACACAUGCAAGUCGAGCGCCCCGCUCGGGGAGCGGCAGACGGGUGAGUAACGCGUGGGAAUCUACCUAGUGUUACGGAAUAACCCCGGGAAACUUGGAGUAAUACCGUAUACGCCCGAAAGGAGAAGGGUUUAUCGCCAUGAGAUGAGCCCGCGUUGGAUUAGCUAGUUGGUGGGGUAACGGCCCACCAAGGCGACGAUCCAUAGCUGGUCUGAGAGGAUGAUCAGCCACACUGGGACUGAGACACGGCCCAGACUCCUACGGGAGGCAGCAGUGGGGAAUAUUGGACAAUGGACGCAAGCCUGAUCCAGCCAUGCCGCGUGAGUGACGAAGGUCUUCGGAUUGUAAAGCUCUUUUGGCGGGGACGAUAAUGACGGUACCCGCAGAAUAAGCCCCGGCUAACUUCGUGCCAGCCGCCGCCGUAAUAC